AUUGAACGCUGGCGGCAGGCUUAACACAUGCAAGUCGAGCGAGCGGCGGACGGGUGUGUAAUGUCUGGGAAACUGCCUGAUGGAGGGGGAUAACUACUGGAAACGGUAGCUAAUCCCGCAUACUAUCAGAUGUUCCCAGAUGGGAGUAGCUAGUAGGUGGGGUAAUGGCUCACCUAGGAGACGAUCCCUAGCUGGUCUGAGAGGCUGACCCGCCACCCUGGAACUGAGACACGGUCCAGACUCCUACGGUAUGCAGCAGUGGGGAAUAUUGCACGAUGGGCGCAAGCCUGAUACAGCCAUGCCGCGUGUGUGAAGAGGGCAUUCGGGUUGUAAAGCGCUUUCAGCGAGGAGGCGUUGCUCGAGGAAGAAGCACCGGCUAACUCCGUGCCGGCAGCCGCGGUAAUUC
rnacentral:rRNA from 1 species